GCCUCAUGGCUCUACUACUGGGAGACGUGGGCGUAAGACUCCUCGAGAGUCAGAUACUCUCGAGGAGCAAGAAAAGAAGCGGCUGCGAGAUAUCUUUGCAGAACCAUCUGACGAGGAUUCUUUUGAGGGGUUUACUGAGAGAAUGGAGGAAGAGAUGGUUAGCUCGGAAGAGGAUGACAUGGAAUGGACUCGUGUAAGGGAGGAUUUGGGUGCCACUGGCAAUGAUAGUAUGGAAGGCGAUUGGGGACCUUCAGGAUUAGACCCGUGGACAAGCUGGAGGGAUGGGACGGGAUCCACAGCUGGGGAUGCUGUGGGGCGUAGUCAAAGGUGUUCCAGUUCUGAUGAGGAAAGUGAUGAGGAAACGCCCGGGCUAAGGAGAACAGCUGAUAGCGAUGAGGACUUGUAACUGGCAUAAAAUGGGGUUUGGGAGCAAUAGCAAAUUGCGUUGGGCAAGGUAAUCUGGACGAACGCUUGGGAUCUGUGUGGGAAGUUUUCCUGAAGACGGGUGUGAUUCGUUUGCUGACUACCUUUGACCUUCCGUCGUCUUCUUGACGGACGCCAUCUGCUUACUCUGGACUUACGGACUGACUGACUACGGCCUCGGAUUCUCCUACCUGUGUCUAUUGUUGGAACUGGUGAACUACAAACGUCUGCAUCUGCCUUACGACCUUCGGAACGGAUUGGGACUUCGCUGACUGCUUCUGCCCUCGUCUGCUGUGUUUGUAUCGGGAAAUUGCCUGCUGUGUGGAGGAGUAACCUCUAAGUUACUCAAACAUAGCUCUUGGCAGCAGAGAAGCAUCUGCUGCCAAUUAGUUGCAUUCCUUUGAACUUUUUGUUCACCAGCUUCUGUUUGUUUAUUCCCAGGCUGAAGCAAGCUGUUUUGAUUUAACCCGGAUUAAACUCCGGUUUAAUCCGGUUUAUCUUUUGAACGUUUUUCUUGUCUCUUUUUACUUUUAAGGCCAGUGUUUGCCUAGCCCUUGUCUUUUACGGGCAUUUUUGGUUCUGUAACUUCAAUAAACUUUGUUAUCUUUUAUCUUGUGGCGUUCUGUCUUUGACAGAUUGCCCAACGCCCAUAAAAAAGUUUUUCUGUAGUAGUUAAUUACGUCAAGAAGACGAUGGAGGAGUUAAAGGCUCGUUUUGAUCAAUUACAGGCUGCUUUUUACGCUGCGCAAGCAGCACAGCCAGCUAAAGGACAUGUUAUGACUCCCGAACGCUUUGAUGGGUCUAGGAGCAAACUGCCAACUUUUUUGGCACAAAUUGAACUUUAUUUUUCCCAGCUUAGUGCACAAGCUUUUCCUACGGACACUAGCAAGGUGGCAUUUAUUUUGAGUUUGUUGACUGGUCCUGCAGGACAAUGGGCCACUAAUUUGAUUUUGAGAAAUGACCCAGUCAAGGACAAUUUGAGUGAUUUCAAAAAACUACUAACUGACACUUUUGGGGAUCCCCUCCGUACGGAGAAUGCUAGUUGGGCUCUGUAUCGGUUGAAACAGGGAAAGGGGACUGUUUUGGAUUAUUUAAAUAAGUUUAAUUCGUACCGUCAUCAGUUAGACUGGGGGAAAAAUGCAUUUAUGCUUUUGUUUACUGCUGGUUUAAAUGAUUACCUCCAGGACGAAUUGGCACGCUUGGAGCCGGCAGAAAAUUGGGAUGCCUUAAUAUCUAAAGUGUUGCGUUUGGAUGCCAGGUUCGAGUCCCGUAAACAAUCUAGAGCAAUGUGUGCGCCACCUAUGUUUGAAUCUAAGGCACCUGUGGUAAAGGGGGACGAGCCUAUGGAACUCGGGGUGUUUAAAUAACUGUCUAUAGCAGAAAAGAACCGUAGGAGACAACUGGGGUUGUGUUUGUAUUGUGGAAAUGCUGGGCAUUUCGCCAGAAAUUGUAAUGUAAAACCUUCCCAGCUUUCGGGAAAAGGCCAGCCCUAGUGCGACGUGAGUCCAACGCAUUAGGGCUUUUAAAGCAGUCAACUGAGGGGAAGAAACAUGUCUUUGUACCCAUUUCGUUAUCUGUUGGGGGAAAAGAACUUGUUUCUACUUUGGCACUGCUGGACUCAGGGGCUACGGUCUCAUAUGUGGAUGCUGAAUUUGCUAGAAAGCAUGGCAUUCCUGUAGUGCGCAAAGCAUGCGACGUAUGGGUGGAAGGAGCGGAUGGGAGACUAUUGGAGACUGGGGUGGUUAACCAUGAGACCUCAGAAAUAAUGUGGGAAGUACAGGGAGUAACGGGAACGUUUGUUUGGGAUAUUACGAGCUUACCCAGAUACGAUGUGAUCCUGGGAAUGGAUUGGCUAGCUUUAGUAAAUCCACAAGUGGACUGGGUGACGCGUAAGAUAACUUUUAGGAGGCAGAAAUGUUUUACUCUAAACCCUACUCAGCCUGAUAUGGAGGGAGUGCCUGCUGAGUAUGGGGAAUUCUCAGACGUAUUCUGUAAGAAGGAAGCGGAUAAGUUACCGCCGCAUAGACCAUACGAUUGCGCCAUUAGACUAGCGGAGGGUGCAAAAUUGCCAGCAGGAAGGUUGUACGCCUUGACAGUAC